rnacentral:pre_miRNA from 1 species
AGUGGGAUAGCUGGGUUAAAUGGUAGUUCCAUUCUCAAUUUCUCAAGGAAUCUCCAUACUGCUUUACAGAUUGACUGCACCAAUUUGCAGUCCCACCAGCAAU